GAACGCUGUAAAUGUUGGAAAGGCAGCCGGUGUGAACAGUGCAGUGAGGCGAGGGCCGCAUCGCCGCGCAGGACAUGCCCGCGCUCUUCAUCCUUGUCAAGUCUGGAUUGGCCUGACCCAGGGGACCCGAGGCGUGCAGAAUGCUGUCUGCCAAGGACCUCCGGUCGCUCCCUCAUCUUUGGCUUUGGGACGGCAUCUGAACGCUGGUCUUCAGCAGCAGAUAAACAUGGAAAUUAUCACCUCUUUUUCCUUGAAAUCCAAAAUAUGCAAAUGAGAAAAUGAGACCUGGAUCAAGUCCAAACAAAUGAGAGUCCUUGCCAAGCUCUUUGCCAUUACUGCAAAUGGAGAAAAGGCAGAGAGGACACCUCCUGGGGGAUUGGUUCUUUCCCAGCUCGCUUUUUAUGAAUCUUGAGCAUUCUAAUUCCACAAGAGGGAGGAAAGGAGAGAUCAGCGCCUAGCCUGAGGUUACUGGACAGAGGGGAGAUGAGAGCAGGCGGCCCUCCCUUUCCGCCCACCUACACUAUCUGCUGUACUCCAGCGGGCCUGCCUGUCAGAAGUAAGGGAUUCCUGGCCAACAUUUGGGGGAUGCUGGAGAGAGGUGCUGAAAUGAAAAUGAUCGUUCCUGCCUAUGACAACACUGUCCAAUACAUCUGGAUUUAUAACAUUCCCAAUGUGUGCCAAAACAUACCUUUUCUAAGGUAUUUUUUUGUGAGUGGAAAUAUGCAGGGGAAGAUAGAAAGCCCACUAGCAAAUCAAUGGUAUUUUGAUUAAAGUAAUUUUCAUAAAUACGACUGUUUUACGCAAGAGCUUCUAGGCAGGGACAAAGACCUGAAGUAAAUUUGGGGAGUUAGGUGGGGAUGACAGGCGCCCCUUGCUUUUGUAAAAUCAGAGAAGGGCAGCUGUGGCCUGUUCAAAAGCCACAGCACGAGUCCAACCCAAACCCCUGCAAAAGCAUACUCACGCCCACAGAAAAACGAGCGGCAGAUGCGUGGUCUCACUGCUGCCUCUUGAAUCUGGAUAGGUCCGACUGGCAGAGCCCAGUUCUCAUGCAGAACACGAGCUGUAACGGGGCUUGGCAGUUAUAGAUUCUUUGCCUCUUUCUCCUGGGUUUCCUGCUCCAAUGAAGGUACUGGCAUCUGCGGAAGACACCUGGACACCUGCUCUCGUCCUUCGUCCGUCCUCCUGUUACUGGACCAGGUCUGAGGAGGUUCUCAAAGCUGAGAUAAGGAACCUAAGCCACCAUAACAUAGAAUGGGCUUGAAGAUUUGCUGGCUCUCAUUGCAGAAAAAGGAUUUUCAGGACACAUCAGUGAGAGGCUUGGGAAGGGUUUAUUACACAGAAAUUUUAGUGCACACUCAGAGAAGUAGUGUGGGCCCUUAAGAAAGAAAGGCACUUUAUUUCCUGGAAUGGGGAAUAUUUAUGCUUCUCUUGAGGGGGUGGGAAGCUUCAAAGAGGCUACCCAGCCCCCAGAAGGGCAG
ensembl:lncRNA